rnacentral:tRNA from 1 species
GGGGCUAUAGCUCAGUUGGAAGAGCACCUGACUGGCAGUCAGGGGGUCAGGAGUUCAAGUCUCCUUAGCUCCACCA